GUAACACGUAUGCAACCUGCCCCAAACAGGGGGAUAGCCUCUCGAAAGAGAGAUUAAUACCCCAUAAUAAUGUUGUUAGGCAUCUAAUGAUAUUUAAAGCUGAGGCGGUUUGGGAUGGGCAUGCGGUUGAUUAGGUAGUUGGUGAGGUAAUGGCUCACCAAGCCAACGAUCAAUAGGGGGUCUGAGAGGAUGUCCCCCCACACUGGUACUGAGACACGGACCAGACUCCUACGGGAGGCAGCAGUAGGGAAUAUUGGACAAUGGGGGCAACCCUGAUCCAGCCAUGCCGCGUGCAGGAAGACUGCCCUAUGGGUUGUAAACUGCUUUUGUACGGGAAGAAACCUCACUACGAGUAGUGAGUUGACGGUACCGUGAGAAUAAGGAUCGGCUAACUUCGUGCCAGCAGCCGCGGUAAUACGAAGGAUCCAAGCGUUGUCCGGAUUUACUGGGUUUAAAGGGUGCGUAGGCGGGCUAUUAAGUCAGUGGUGAAAGCCGAUCGCUUAACGAUCGAACUGCCAUUGAAACUGAUAGUCUUGAGUAUGUUUGAGGUUACUGGAAUAUAACAUGUAGCGGUGAAAUGCUUAGAUAUGUUAUAGAACACCAAUUGCGGAGGCAGGUAACUAAGUCAUAACUGACGCUGAGGCA
rnacentral:rRNA from 1 species